UACGGCUCAGUAACGCGUAGUCAACCUACCCUAUGGACGGAAAUAACCUCGGGAAACUGAGAAUAAUAUCCGAUAGAACAUUAUGCCUGGAAUGGUUUAUGUUCCAAAUGAUUUAUCGCCGUAGGAUGGGACUGCGGCCUAUCAGUUUGUUGGUGAGGUAAUGGCCCACCAAGACUAUUACAGGUACGGGCUCUGAGAGGAGUAGCCCGGAGAUGGGUACUGAGACACGGACCCAGGCUCUAUGGGGCGCAGCAGGCGAGAAAACUUUGCAAUGUGCGAAAGCACGACAAGGUUAAUCCGAGUGAUUUCUGCUAAAGAAAUCUUUUGUUAGUCCUAGAAACACUAACGAAUAAGGGGUGGGCAAGUUCUGGUGUCAGCCGCCGCGGUAAAACCAGCACCUCAAGUGGUCAGGAUGAUUAUUGGGCCUAAAGCAUCCGUAGCCGGCUCUGUAAGUCCUCGGUUAAAUCUGUACGCUUAACGUACAGGCUGCCGGGAAUACUGCAUAGCUAGGGAGUGGGAGAGGUAGACGGUACUCGGUAGGAAGGGGUAAAAUCCUUUGAUCUAUUGAUGACCACCUGUGGCGAAGGCGGUCUACCAGAACACGUCCGACGGUGAGGGAUGAAAGCUGGGGGAGCAAACCGGAUUAGAUACCCGGGUAGUCCCAGCUGUAAACUAUGCAAACUCAGUGAUGCAUUGGCUUGUGGCCAAUGCAGUGCUGCAGGGAAGCCGUUAAGUUUGCCGCCUGGGAAGUACGUACGCAAGUAUGAAACUUAAAGGAAUUGGCGGGGGAGCACCACAGGGGGUGAAGCCUGCGGUUCAAUUGGACUCAACGCCGGG
rnacentral:rRNA from 1 species